CAUUUGCAUUUCGGACCUUGGACUUGAAUGUUAAUUUUAAUUAAAAAACCAAUAAAAAAUGAUUUAUCCUAUCGCAAUUUUAAUUUUUGGUUUACUCACGUCAACGUUUUGCCAAGCGGUGGAAGAUGGACAGGAAACUGGUCGGGCUAUUUCCGAUUUUGGAACCGGACGAAUUUUCUUUACCACGCUCCUCAUCCCGAUUGUGUCGAUACUUCUUCCAAUAUUCGUCCUCGUGGGUUUCAUUCUUACAGCGUCGUUUGUCUUCUCGGGUUUCCAAGCGGGUGGAUUUAUCGGAAGGAGGAGAAGGAUGAUAGAAAAUCUGGAAAAAAUUAACUUUGCCAAAAUUUUGGAAACCGUGAGUAGCGGGGAAUGUGUGGAGAAAAUUGCGUGUGAAAUUUUUAAAUUUUCAAAAAAUCAUAGCACCGAGGAAAGAGAUUGUCAAAACUUAAAGUGUGACUUAUUUUAAGAUUAUGAGAGUUUAAAUUUCCCUAAAAAUUAUGAUAGUGUGAAUAAGUAUUUAUACCGAACUUUAUAUGAUUGGUAAUUUACUUUUUAAUAGAUGAAGCUAAUAAAGUCAGAUUAAUUGUAUUUAACAAAA